rnacentral:misc_RNA from 1 species
UUUUGGCUAAUGGUGGCUUGCCUUGCUUUUGAGCUAGGUUGGUGGCUUUUGGUUGGGUGAUCUCGGGGAUGUCUACCGUAAAGGUGCAUGAGUGGUGUUUGGUUUGUUACGGGUGGUUGGCUCUUUGCUUGCGCAACAACUUCCACCUGGCAAACCUCUUCAUUUUUGUGUCAAUGCUUGAAUUGCGUUGAACGUGUUGUGGGUUUCUUGUGUUGCAUUCCUAACUGAUGGUAUCGUUUGAUGGAUUCGUGUUUAUUUUCGUCUUGUGUUGCACAUGCGAUGCGAGAUGAACCUUAAAGAAGCCUUUGCUCUCCACACUUUUGAUUAACACGUAUCGAUUUUGUGGCUCGCUAAGUGCUUCUUGGUCUCAUUAAUAUGGAACCUUGUGUGGGCAUUGGAUCUUUUAUUAGGUCCUUGUUUGCCCUAGCUAAGCUUUUCAAAUACGAUUUUCUAUCACGUCUUGACGUGGUAGGAUACAUCGAAUAUGAAUG